UACAGAGGUGGCAAGCGUUGUUCGGAAUUACUGGGCGUAAAGGGCGCGUAGGCGGUUCUGUAAGUCCCGCGUGAAAUCCCCCGGCUCAACUGGGGAACUGCGCGGGAAACUGUGGGGCUAGAGUUCAGGAGAGGGAAGCGGAGUUCCGGGUGUAGCGGUGAAAUGCGUAGAUAUCCGGAGGAACACCGGUGGCGAAGGCGGCUUCCUGGACUGACACUGACGCUGAGGCGCGAAAGCUAGGGGAGCAAACGCG
rnacentral:rRNA from 1 species